GUGUGCCCGAUUCAAUAGGGGCUAUUUUGAUAAAAUAGACAUGGAGAUUAGAACCUCUCACUUCUA
rnacentral:tRNA from 1 species